UACGUAGGGUGCAAGCGUUGUCCGGAAUUAUUGGGCGUAAAGAGCUCGUAGGCGGUUUGUCGCGUCUGCUGUGAAAACCCGAGGCUCAACCUCGGGCCUGCAGUGGGUACGGGCAGACUAGAGUGCGGUAGGGGAGAUUAGAAUUCCUGGUGUAGCGGUGGAAUGCGCAGAUAUCAGGAGGAACACCAAUGGCGAAGGCAGAUCUCUGGGCCGUAACUGACGCU
rnacentral:rRNA from 1 species